rnacentral:lncRNA from 1 species
UAAAAUGAUGCGAGAACCCGCGGUGAAGAAAUAAAGAGAUCCUUCUAUAUCGAAAUCUCAGUUGAAAAAAUAAUAGGAAAAUUCCUGGAUCACCCGUGGAGAAGAACCAAAACAGAAUGGUUCCGCCUACUCAAAACUAAGAGGGGAUGCCGCCUACUACUAAAAUCCCGGUUUUUGCAACAGUUGCGUUCUUCUAUGCAAGAAGAAGACUUAGAAAGAACAAAGAAGUUUGGAUCCGAAAAAGUAUGCUUAGGCAGUUCUUUCGCUGAGCACAACAGAAUGAAGAGGAAUUUGUAUCAUUUCAAAUCCCUAUUCUUAUCGAAGAGAAGGAACGAGAAAAACCGAAAUAUUCCUACUCGAACAAGAAGUCCUAUAGUUUACAACUCUUCUUUAUAUAGUAAUUCGACCUAUUGCUCCGCAUCCCCCCAUCAGUUUACUAAAAAGAUCAAAAUAAAAAGGAUCGAACUACCUACUCAUUAUUCGGAGGUGAAUCAUAGAACACCAAAAGCUGUGGUAUCUUAUGGACCUAACAUAGGUCACAUACCUCACGACAUAAGAUUGAAAGAUCCAAACCUUCUUCUUCGGAGCGGAAAGGGACGUGGCCAAAACAUAUAAAGAUCGGCGUAGUCGCUCAUAGGGACAUAUCUAUCCGGAUAGAGGAUAGUCUAGGCCGAUUCAUAGAUAGAUCUCUCUCCAUAUAGAUAGGUAUCUCCGUGGAUAGAGAUAAAGAUAGGGAUCC